rnacentral:rRNA from 1 species
CAGCCGCCGCGGGAACACGUAGGGGGCAAGCGUUGUCCGGAAUUAUUGGGCGUAAAGCGCACGCAGGCGGUUUCUUAAGUCUGAUGUGAAAGCCCCCGGCUCAACCGGGGAGGGUCAUUGGAAACUGGGAAACUUGAGUGCAGAAGAGGAGAGUGGAAUUCCACGUGUAGCGGUGAAAUGCGUAGAGAUGUGGAGGAACACCAGUGGCGAAGGCGACUCUCUGGUCUGUAACUGACGCUGAGGAGCGAAAGCGUGGGGAGCGAACAGGAUUAGAGACCCCAGUAGUCCCUGUCUCUUAUAC